UGCCAAUUAUAAGUAUUGGCGCACGUGCGUGCAAUUCUAUUUACAAGGCCAUAAUUUGUUAGGCCUUAACGAUGGAGUAGAGACAACACUUCCCACUGAAGACAAAAAGACAGAAGCAUGGAUGACCAAAGCAAGGAAGGCCAUGUUUGCACUCAAGACCUCUAUGAAAGAUGACUUGCUAAAGCACAAUGAAGAUGCAAAGUCGCCCAAGGAGAUAUGGGAUGCCAUGCCACUUUACUCACUAGAAGAAAUGAUGACCGUCUAUAGCUAUUGGAGAAUGAGUUCUUGUCUACCUUGCAAAAGGAGAUGUUGGUAAAUGAGUAUUUUACAAAAAUUCAGUAUUUUUGCCAUGAAAUUUCUAAAUUAG
rnacentral:misc_RNA from 1 species